CCACAAAUAAGCUUUCUUGUAAGCUCUCUUCCUAACAGGGCACAUAUUCUUCCAUAAUAUAAACACUUUUCUGCCCCAUCUCCCAUACUUUUGAAGGUCAGUUCUAUGACAGUGAAUUUUGCACAGGAGAAGCAGCUACCUGAUUUCUUACUUUCUCUCUCCUUGUCAUGGAGAAUACAGAAACACUGUCUGAAAGGGCUCUAAAGAAGGAACUACCAAAACCUCAUUUGAAAUGCCAUUUCUUUUAACCUUCCACAUCCUGAAUGUUUCCUUCCAGGCAUUUUAAUAAACUUAUUUGCUUCUGGUUUUGGGAGUUCAUAAGAGAGACUAGAACAAAGUACAGGACAUCAAAUAUUAGCCAUUUCCCAUUUUAUUUUAUUUUUCUAUGUAUGUUCAUGAUCCAUGUUCAUUUAUUUAAGAAUACAUUUUUAUUGGUAAGCUUAUAGAGCUAUACUUAUGGAAUUUUUAAGUAGGAAAAUAAAUGGUUAAGACAAAAUAGUGUUAUAGCUUUCAUUCUCUGAAUAGGCCAUCUUUGACUCAUAAAAUUAUACUUACUGUUUAUUAUAACUUCAGAAGUAAUUUAUAGUUCUGAACCUCUAGUAUCUUUUACCCUGUUCCCAAGCGAAGACUGGUGACUUUAUCUGAAAAUGAUUCCUCUUCCCAUGACCUAAAACACUGUGAGGAAAAAUCAUUCAAGUGGCAUGCCAAGUCCCCAUGAAGGAAGGGCUGCUGUCAAACCUAACUUUUUUGAGCAGACUGAGACUAAACUUCUGUCUUUUCAAAAUUGUGUUAUCUUCCUUAAUCCUAUUUUCAUAAUUUUUCCUUUUGCCAGUUUUUCACAUUAUCUUUGAUAUGUGAGCAACAUUUAUUAUUUACAUUAGAGUAUACCUUUUAGUAAUAACAUGACUUGAAAUCAUGUUAUUUUUAAAAGCCUCCUUUGCUUCUUUCAUUACUUAUAAUCUUCUCUAAAACAAACUCUGCAUUUUUUUUAAUAAAGCACUUUCUGUCAAAUAAUGGACUUUUUUCUAAACAGAAAUUAUUUUCUAUUUACAAACUGAUGAUUUCACUUUAAAAAAAAAUUUUUUUUUUUUAUUAUCAGAGUACUUAGUAAAUGUUAUAUAGUUAAGUUCUAAGAUAGUUCCAGGGAUUAAAAGGUUAAGAGGAAAACACAAAUCACCAAAUUUCUGAUUUAUGUUUUUAUCUCCUGAACAGUAUUUUUUCACUCGUAUUCCUCUAUCUCAUCACUUAGCUAAAGACAGCCUAAAUUUCCCAAUUUUCUGUCAUUUGUGAUUUACUUGUAUAUAAGCCUUCUCAUUUGCCAUGUGCUGUGAUCUUACAAGUUAGAUGUUACUGUACCUACCAUUUAUUCAGCUGGAUUGCUGAACACUGUUCCGGAUUCUUAGAAUUAAGAUUAUCUUGUUAGUGCCCAAGAUUUCCACGCUUUGUGUUUUAUUGGCCCUUCUCUUGAUUCAGCACCUUAACCGAUUUUCAGUCUUCUGGCACAUAAUUUUUUUCACAGCUAUUAUUCUAUUAACAAAUUAUUUGUAUCUUUCCUAGUACAUUUUCACUUAGUUCUCUUGCCUUUAAAUAUCUUUCACAUGCAUUUUAGGAUAUUCCUUUCAAAUAUUUGUAGGACAACUUUGAAUCAAAAUAAAUUAUAUUCCUUCUCCAGUUUGAAGCAUUGAGGGUAAAUAACCAUUUGAGGUCUAACGGAUCUUUUCCUGCCAGAAGAGUGAUCUUACGUUCUGCUAUAUUUGUAUUUGGGCCAGUUGAUUGUAGGUUUUCCAACAUUUUUUAAUAUUGGGAAAAUUAUAAUAAAAUGCUUUAAAAAUUAAUAUGCCAGAUUAAAAUAACUGAAUAGUUUAUUUCAUUCAAGCAUGUUUAAAACAAAUAAUUUCCUUUCACCAGUUUUUCUUAGUAAACUCCUGAAAAAGUAGGAAAGGUGGAGAGUAUAUAUCAUUUUAAUAAAUUUUAAAUUAAAUUGUACAUCAGACUGUUAAAAUCUGUAAUAUACAAGCAAGCAAAAUUAAGUUAAUUACUUAUAUGCUAAUACUCAUCUGAUAAUAAAUGUUUCUUAAAGUUGACAUUUAACUGCUAUCACAAAAUUUUACAUGUAGAAAAGCAGGUCUUUUGAAUAAAAGAUCAUUCAACUAAAAAUAUUAAAAUUUAUUUCACUGGAUGGUAAUGUAACUUUAAAAGCAUCAUAAUAGGUAAAGUCUAAUAUUAGUUCCCUUAACAAAAUCCUAACUGUAUACCAGAAUUAGGUCACUGAAAGAACUUGAUUUGAAUUACGUUUAGACAAAAAUUACUUAAUUGUAAAUUCUUAAAACUUUCCAAAUGCAUAAUUGGCAAAAAAAUAAAUAAAUAAAUAAAUAAAAAACACUGUUACCCGUGUAGGAAGUUACGAGAAGGCACAUACUGAAUGCCGAAAUAUACAUAUGCUCUUUCUUUAAACUGAGAACAACCAUAUGAGCAUUGUAAUUAAUAUUCCCAUUUUACAGAUGAGGAAAUUGAAGCUAAGAGAAACUAAGUAAUAUGCCCAAGGUCCAUAUCUAGUAAUAGACAAAGCUGGGAUUUCAGUCGAUGUCUACCUCUCUCCACAUCUCUUUCAUCCAUACCACACUGCCUAUAUGCCAUAUGACAGGAUGUGUUACGGGCUAACAUUUAUUUUAAAAAUUCAGGCCAGGCACAGUGGCUUACGCCUAUAAUCCCAGCACUUUGGGAGGCCGAGCCAGGUGGAUCACAAGGUCAGGAGUUCAAGACCAGCCUGGCCAAAAUGGUGAAACUCCAUCUCUACUAAAAAUAUUUUUUAAAAAUUAGCCAAGCGUGGUGGUGGGCACUUGUGGUCCCAGCUACUCAGGAGGGUGAGGCAGGAGAAUUGCUUGAACCCAAGAGGCAGCAGUUGCAGUGAGCUGAGAUCACGCCACUGCACUCCAGCCUGGGCGACAGAGUGAGACUCCAUCUCAAAAAAUAAAAAUAAAAAUUCAGUCACUAUACUCGCACAAUUGUCAUUUGUAUAUACACAAAUGACAAUUUAUAUAUACAAUUAUAUUUGUAUAUAUAAGGUAAGCCAAACCACAUACCUUAAUGAUUUGGGAAGUUAGGCAAAUAUAAGAUAUGUAGACAUAUCUAUGCUGAUUGUUGCUUGAGAAAUAAUUACUAAUUCAAGACAAAACUCAAUCCUGUAUCUCCCAUCAUGAAUCUUAAAAUCAUUUCACUUGAUUCCUAACAUUCUUAAAUUGCAGAACUAAUGGUAAGGUAAAUUUUAAGGAAAAAGUUAAGAUAGCUUUUGGGAACAGAGACCUUUCCCUAAACUGAUUCCAUAAUAGAUUUGGGGGAAUUAAUUUAACAGAGAAUUUCAGUUUCAUCAGUCCUUUGAAUCCAUCUUCAGGACUUCUGCUUUUAAUAACUUUAGAAAAUUUACUAAUCCAUAGAACUAAUUGAGUAGGCUAUAGGAAGGAUACAAGGAUAAUGUCUUUUUUAUAAAACAGUUUAGUAUAGCUUCUUUACAUGAAUCCAUUUGUUCCAGAAAAUGUGCAUUGGUUCUGAAUGUGAAAAUAUUUAAAGAGAGAAAGGAACACUUAAGUGUGGGCUUCAGUGGGAAUUUUCACAAAAAAAUUGGCAAGUUUUUUAAAAAAUUAUUUUCAAAUUUGACUUCUACAGCCAAAUGGAAUUGGUAGGCUGUAGCUGUUACACUGAAAUUUCCAGUCUUUUUAAGUGCCUCCUGAAAGCCAUUUAAAAUGGAAAAAUAUUUCAAUGAACUUUUCUUUUCCUUUUUUCAUAUUUAUGGACAUGAAUAUUUUAUUGGAGAUCAUUAACUACUAGAAUUUGAGAUUAUAUUUCUAUACAAUAUUUUUUAAAGUUAUGUUGAAUUUACUGCCUGUUAUGUGCAGGUUAUUAUGUAACUAUUCACAGAUUGCUUCAUACAUUGCUUUAUCUUCCCAGCUAACUUAUUAAAGUUAGAAUCUGUACACACAUAUUGAUUAUCUAGACCAGUCAUUCUAGAAAUUGUAACACUCCCACAUAAACGCCAGAAGACUUUUUCAGAAUGCAAUGUUUUCUAAAUAUACUGUUUACUGGCAGUUUACUCUUCAGCAUAUAAGGUUGCAUUUUAACUUUUAGAUUAUGAACUGUGCAAACUUUACCCAAAACUACCUUGCAUGAUUCCCUCCUAAAUAUGUUCCUUGAUUAAGUAAAUCUGGCAAAUCACUGUUUGAGCUAGUUACAUAAAAUUUGUUGUCAAGAGAAGGCCUUUCUACAAGUUUCCAGAUUAACAAAGAAAAGAGGAAAUCAGGGCAUUUAAGUGCACCUUCCCAUUACUUUCCUUAAAUCACCUCAUAGGCCGGGCGCAGUGGCUGACGCCUGUAAUCCCAGCACUUUGGGAGGCCGAGGCGGGUGGAUCACGAGGUCAGGAGACUCAGACCAUCCUGGCUAACACGAACCCCAUCUCUACUAAAAAUACAAAUAAUUAGCCAGGCAUGGUGGCACGCGCCUGUAGUCCCAGCUACUCGGGAGGCAGAGAUAGGAGAACCGCUUGCACCAGGGAGGCGGAGGUUGCAGUGAGCCGAGAUCGCGCCAAUGCACUCCAACCUGGGCAACAGAGCAAGACUCCAUCGCAAAAAAAAAAAAAAAAA
rnacentral:lncRNA from 1 species